GAAGCACAAUGACUUCCAGAAUGUCUAGUCUGAUGUGCACAGCAGAAGGAUCCAGGCCUGAUGACAUGAUGCCCCUUGGCUGUGGCCUUCACAGUUUGGAAAGUUGCUGGAGACCCGUGUUCUCCUGUGAUGACGCGCUGUGUAAUUAUGCAGACACAUCAAGAGAGGCUCACCUGCUCCUUGUGUGGCAUUGCUCAGAGCUCCACUGGCCUCUGCUUCUGAGAUUAAAG